UCAAGUGAUAGAUUUAGCAAAACAGAGCC
rnacentral:piRNA from 1 species